rnacentral:rRNA from 1 species
CGGUAAUACGGAGGGUGCAAGCGUUAAUCGGAAUUACUGGGCGUAAAGCGCACGCAGGCGGUCUGUCAAGUCGGAUGUGAAAUCCCCGGGCUCAACCCGGGAACUGCAUUCGAAACUGGCAGGCUAGAGUCUUGUAGAGGGGGGUAGAAUUCCAGGUGUAGCGGUGAAAUGCGUAGAGAUCUGGAGGAAUACCGGUGGCGAAGGCGGCCCCCUGGACAAAGACUGACGCUCAGGUGCGAAAGCGUGGGGAGCAAACAGGAUUAGAUACCCUGGUAGUCCACGCCGUAAACGAUGUCGACUUGGAGGUUGUUCCCUUGAGGAGUGGCUUCCGGAGCUAACGCGUUAAGUCGACCGCCUGGGGAGUACGGCCGCAAGGUUAAAACUCAAAUGAAUUGACGG